GUGGAACAGAGAUGUGACACCACUUAUAUAAUCGGCUCUUGCGUUGGAACUGGAGGGCGCCGCAUGCUCCAUGUGAACAUGAUGAAACCCUACCAGGAGCGAUCCAAGGAGGUGACCGCUAUAUGUGCGCCCAACUCGGAUAAGUUUGACAGCCUUCCUCUCCCAGACCUGCUGGGAGACGGUCAGUUGUGAGGAGAUUUAUGGG